GAAGAAUUCGCAAAGUCGUUGUGACGAAGAGAAAAAGAGAGUCCUACCCUAUAAGGGUUUCACCAUUGAGUGGCGACGGGUUCAAUCAGUGCUGCUUUCCUUCGGGGGAUUUCUCUUUGCAAAUAUAAAGGAAUGUGCCAAAGCAUGGCAAAUUCAUUACUAGAGAAGAGAUGGAGGAAUAUUGUUUCCAAAGGGUUAAGAAGCACGAAUAAAAAUACGGAAAGCUAUACGAUCGGAUCAACGAUUUACCAAAUGUGGUAUGUUGGCUAUCAUAGCGAGGAAGAUGGUCUUGACCACAGAGUUGAGACUUGUUAUACCCAUGAGGACAAACAUUGGAUCAUGAGAGUGCCCGCAACAUGAGAAGAAACAUUGGACCCUCAAUGUUGCUCUCUCGAUUUCUAUAUCUCUCUUACUCUUAGCUUCUCCUCUUCCCUUCCCCCAUAAAGGACCAAACCCUGUGCAGUAAUAGUAAUUGGAGGAAGGCAUAUUCGAGCUCUUUGAAUAAGGUCUAAACCCUGUGCAGUAAUAGUAAUUGGAGGAAGGCAUAUUCGAGCUAUUUGAAUAAGGUCUCUUUCCACCACCAGAGAAGCAGCUACUGGGGUUGCGACUCUUGCUUUUGUUAUAGUAAGUCUUUAGCUGAUCGAGGUGGUGCUCGCACAGCGAAUGUCCUGGUUUAUCUUCUUUCUUACAUUUCCAUCCCUUUCCAUCCGUCUUACUGCAACAUAUGAAGCUCAUCCCUUCCUUUCUCGCCUUAGAGUUCUUCAUUUCUUCAACCCUGUGUUUCUUUUGCUUUCCUGCUUUCCUGAGAUUGAAUCGAUAAUUGGAGGCGAUAGCUUAUAAUCAUCUUCCAAGUUGGAUCCAUUCAACUAAAGACCACAUUAUCAAUUUGAUCGAGUCUGUAUGGGAUUGUUUGACUUUGUUUCGAAUUGCUUUAUCUUUUGAUAGCCACGCCGAAAGUGGAAAUGUGAUCUGAAAUCUGUGUUGUAUUUUCUUUCCAGGUAUGCCUGGACAUUAGUCUUGUAUUUCUAUUCCAUCUUUACAUAUUUACAAGUCAGCCAAUGAAUUUUGUAGACAAUGAAAAUAUCGAAACAAAUCUGUUAGCCAAAAAAGUGUAUGUCAAGAUGCUCUACUGAGUGGGAAGUGCCUCCAAGGUUUUCAUCUCAAAGGAUAUCACGUGGUAUGCUCAGGAAAGACCACAUCGAUUUGAUUGAGUCUGUUUAGGAUUGUUUGUCUUUAUUCUGGAUAGCUGUCUCUGUUGAUGGUCAUGCUGAAGGUGGAAAAGUGAUCUAAAAAUUGUGUUGUAUUUUUUGUCCGGAUUCACCUGGACGCUUCAUAUAUUUCUAUUUCAACUUACUUUUGUUGACCUUCAGCAAAAAAAAUGGUAUGACUUCUGGAAAGGUUUUAUCUCAACAAUAUUUAUGGAAGAUUAUUCCAUCA